ensembl:lncRNA
AAAAGGCAGGCCUUCGAAAGGGCUUUCCAAGUAGCCAAAUCAUUCACCUGGGUGUUGGGAAAACAAAGACAAGCGGAAAAAAAAAAUAGUUUUAAACAUCAGCCUUCGCUGCCCCCACGUGUGAACAGGAGACAAAGAAGCUAGCAAGGAGUUUGAAGCUGUCUUAGAAGAAAAAGUCUGAACGGCUGGGGGCCAUGGAGGGCGUUGGAGAAGGAGAAUUGAGGACGCCCUUCGCCACUCUGCUCCCCGGUGUCUAGAUAUGAUACCUGCUCUUUUCAUAGGAUUAUUUGUACCAGGCCAGUUCAGACAAGGCUGCCAAGUUCCUUAUGAACAGAACUUGGGCCACCUUUGUUUCUAGCCUCUCAUGAAGGGAUGCCUAAUGCCAUGCUCAGCACACAUCAGUGAAGAUGUCUAUAAAUGAUGACUGCAGAGAGCAGAGUACUCAGUUCACAAGAAAGUAAAACAAGAAUGGAAGGCAGAGGGUGUGUUAACAAGCAGAUGACCACUCCAGCAAUGGCAGCACAGUCCUGCUGAGGGCCCUGUGGGGACACAACUCAGAACGAACCCACAGGCAAGGGGCCUGAGAGAAUCGCCUUACAGCUCCAUGCCACCAUCUUUAGUUAAGAACUGCUUCUGGGUGAUCCCUGCUUUGUUCUGUACAUCCCUGAAGCCAUUAAAAUGUCCUCAAGCAGAGAUGAGCAGGAGCUGGAGGUAAGAAAUCUCGGCUUUCACAGAAACCUGAGCAGUAACGUUGCAGAUAACCUCCAGGAUGGCUGAGGGGAUGCAGCCAAACAACGGCAAUGUGAGCUUCGUGACCUGAUGCAUUCUGGAUCUUAAUCCCAGCGGAACUCACCCUCUAUCUACUAUUGCACAAGGGACUGCACAAAAGCAUCUAGCAGAACGUGAGAAUCAAACUGAAUGCGGUUUAAACUCUCUUGACCAACCUCCACAUUCUGACAAAGAGAACCUCUUUUCUGAUUUGUUCUGAAGUGUCAAAUGGACUGCUUAACAAUGACCCAAAUGCUACAACAGCUAUCAACGUAGGCGUCGUAGGAUCUGAUUUUACAUGUCGCAGUUUCUUUAAUGUACAGAAGAAAACAUACCAAAAAAAAAAAAAAAGACAACAAAAAGCAGUCAGGUUUUUCAGUAGAUUAAUAAGGUAUUUUUGACAUAGAAGAGACAUCUAAUGCAAAGCUAAUUGUUAUUACCCAUUCACAACACUUCCCCAAGACGCUUUGCAGAAAUAACUAAUUUGUGCUUAUCAUGAGUUGUUACUUCUAAGUCCAGAAGCAAUUUCAUCUGCUUUGCCUAAUAGCAAAGUGAGCUGGUCAAAUUGGGCUGGCCACCAUAUUUUACCUGCCACUGACAUUUACCAUAGUGCCUGAAUGACACAGGGGAUUUUGACUCAACCAAAAUACUCUUCUUCUCCAAGGGUCAUCUAUGAACAGGAGAGAGGUUUGGCCUGGGAGGGGGGUCUCUGGUUUUUCAGCUUGAACUUUCAGUUGGUAUUGAAGCUGCUGCUCCCACAUUUAUGACAGGCACCCUGUUGAGAGUGUUUCUGCACUUGCCUCUGCUUCUGGGCCAGGGCUUUCAAUGUUCGUUUACUCUUCCACAGACUGUGGUUUGCAUGUUUUCCAUCUUACUAUUUAAUGGCAGGAUUCCUUUCUCCACCUCACGAACAAAUUGAAUUUUCUGAUCAUAGGUUAUUUACUUUGUCUUUGAAACCCUGUAACUUGUCCUGGUCAUGAAUACUGACUGAACAACUCCUGCAGAAUGAAAGGCUGGGGUGGCCUCACAUAACCACGUCUAAGUCAAGAACUCUCUGCUUUCUGACAGCUAUGACACAUUAAGUGGGCACCCUCCAGAGCCCCCUCUGUCUUAACAAUUGUCAGUCUCCUGGAAUCACAGGAAAACGAGGCUAGACAAGGUCUUGGAGGUUAUUCUAAACUACCACUUAAUGCCUGUAGUGUCUAGUCUACAACAUCAUGUCAUGACUUGAUGGAAAGUAUUUCAGAAACCAGAAGUCCACUGUAAAAACACAUGGUCAGUAAAACUUAACAUUAGACCAGUAUUAGACUUUCUUGGAAUCUAACAAAACAAUAUCAAGACUCAGUAGAUUCAUGUCAGUCACCAAGGCCUGUCUCAUGAUUUGAUGGAUAGGACCAAAAAUUCAUUCAGUUUCUCAUUGUGGUUUCACUUGAAACAGGAGGAGAAAUAUGGAUGGUGACAACUCUUCUCACAAAUGUCCUGGCCUUGACUUGGAACUUUCCUUAGGUUCCUUUUUCAUUUUAGAGCAGUUUACCGAGUGUCUAAGGGAGAUCAUCCAGGAGUGCAUGGGCUCUCAUGUCUGCUUUCUGUACUUACUUAAUGAUUGUAACAGUGGUUAUAUCAUUAAGUAAUAACAGUGGUCAUCCUCUGGGUUUU